CUCAUGAGUCCAAAGAGCUCCGGGCCAGCUUUUAAGUAUUUCAGUCAGCAUUUCUUUAACCAGGUUGUCAUCCUCCGAAUCAGAAGUUAUUUCUCCACAAUCUUCAUUAUCCGGACUGAUUUGACGGUCCUGUCUCUGUUUAAUGGAUGUUCGUUUCUCUGGUUACAUUGUCACAUUUGGUCUUCCCUUGUCAUCAGGCAAUAGGUGAUUUUGAUGCAAUGUCUUCACAACUCCAAUCCCUCUCUCUGGCUUCACCCUAUAUGCGGGAAGAUUGGGCAUUUUACCGACCACAACAUAUGGCUGCCCCAGAUGCAAGCUGAUGAGCUUUCUUCAAAUCCAAUCUCAACCUUGAAAUGUACUGCUGUACAGUCUCAAGAGAAUGCAUGAGACUCCAGGAGAUGGGCUGUUACACAAGGAGAGCUGGACAGGGUCGUAGAAGGGCAUCAACUCAGCAGCAGGACCAGAAUCUGCUCCUUUGUUUGAGGAGGUAUUAGAUGAGUAGGGUAAUAACUUUGAAUCUUCAGUUAACGUGG
ensembl:lncRNA